UACGUAGGGUCCGAGCGUUGUCCGGAAUUAUUGGGCGUAAAGGGCUCGUAGGCGGUCUGUUGCGUCGGGAGUGAAAACUUACAGCUUAACUGUGAGCGUGCUUCCGAUACGGGCAGACUUGAGGUAUUCAGGGGAGAACGGAAUUCCUGGUGUAGCGGUGAAAUGCGCAGAUAUCAGGAAGAACACCCGUGGCGAAGGCGGCUCUCUGGGACGGUACUGACGCUGAGACGCGAAAGCGUGGGGAGCGAACAGG
rnacentral:rRNA from 1 species